rnacentral:lncRNA from 1 species
GGGGUGGGCAGAUAGGGUGGCUAUGGGUAUGGGUUCGCACGGCACGCCCUCACCUCGCUGCCCCCGGUGUGCUAUGGGGUAUGGGGUGGGGCAGAUAUGGGGUAUGGGGUGGGGCAGCUAUGGGGUGGCUAUGGGGUAUGGGGUGGGGCAGAUAUGGGGUAUGGGGUGGGGCAGAUAUGGGGCGGCUAUGGGGUAUGGGGUGGGGCAGAUAUGGGGUGGCUGUGGGGCACAAGUGGGGCACAAAUGGGGUGAGGAUGGGGUAUGGGGUGGGUAGAUAUGGGUGGCUUACGAGGGCUAUGGGGUGGGCAGAAUAUGGGGUUGGGAUGGGCAUUAUGGGGCCGGCUAUGGGGUAUGGGAUGGGGC